UACGUAGGGAGCAAGCGUUGUCCGGAAUCAUUGGGCGUAAAGCGCGCGUAGGCGGCCCCAUAAGUCCGCUGUGAAAGUCAAAGGCUCAACCUUUGAAAGCCGGUGGAUACUGUGGGACUAGAGUACGGAAGAGGCGAGUGGAAUUCCUGGUGUAGCGGUGGAAUGCGCAGAUAUCAGGAGGAACACCAAUAGCGAAGGCAGCUCGCUGGGACGUUACUGACGCUGAGGCGCGAAAGCGUGGGGAGCGAACAGG
rnacentral:rRNA from 1 species